AAUUAUUCUAAUUUUAACAACGACUUCUUAAAAGUUUAUAAACAUAAUGUACAAUAUUAUUUUAAUUUAUGUAAAGAGAUUUGGAACUUAAAAAGAUAUAAAUUGAUAUAUCAUGAAAGGUUUGCACUAUUUAGAAAAAUCGGUUAUUUUCUUAAUCUAAAAUGAUUAUUAAAUAUGCUAGAGGGACAAAUGUAUUUGAAUUUUUUUUUAAUAAUUAUUCUAAUUUUAAGAACGACUUUUUAAAAGUUUAUAAACAUAAUGUACAAUAUUAUUUUAAUUUAUGUAAAGAGAGUUGGAACUUUAAAAGAUAUAAAUUGAUAAGAACCAUUUCUGUAUUACAAAGAAAAAAAUAUGGCUCAAGUUAUGAAGUUUGUUUAUAUUAUAAUGAUUUUUAUUUCUAUAUUUCUGGUGCAAUUCAACCAUGGAAGUAAUAACUUGGGAAGAGCUGAUAAAUGUGAAAAAGAUUCUGAUUGUACAAGUUAUUUUGUGCGGUGCCCACCACCACGGAUAGUGAAGUGUAAUAAUAAACGAUGCAGAUGUGAUAGUAUUAUAUCUCUUAUUAGAAAUGUUCACAUAUAAUUCUAAUAAAUUUAAUUUGGUAAUCAAGAGAGUAUACAAAUUCUCUUCAAGAAUAAUGAAUACUUUUUGAGAGUAAACUAUUGUCAUACCCGUGCGAAAGCACGAAUACCUGUUUUGUCACGUUUAUUUUGUUUAAUAUUGUAUUUUCUUUAAUAGAAAAAGGAUAUUUUGAUUCAUCAAUCAAUAAUUUCAUAUUCUCAUUAUCAUUUGA